GAUGAACGCUGGCGGCGUGCUUAACACAUGCAAGUCGAACGGUGAAGCCAAGCUUGCUUGGUGGAUCAGUGGCGAACGGGUGAGUAACACGUGAGCAACCUGCCCUGGACUCUGGGAUAAGCGCUGGAAACGGUGUCUAAUACUGGAUAUGAGAUNUGAUCGCAUGGUCAUGUUUGGAAAGAUUUUUCGGUCUGGGAUGGGCUCGCGGCCUAUCAGCUUGUUGGUGAGGUAAUGGCUCACCAAGGCGUCGACGGGUAGCCGGCCUGAGAGGGUGACCGGCCACACUGGGACUGAGACACGGCCCAGACUCCUACGGGAGGCAGCAGUGGGGAAUAUUGCACAAUGGGCGGAAGCCUGAUGCAGCAACGCCGCGUGAGGGAUGACGGCCUUCGGGUUGUAAACCUCUUUUAGCAGGGAAGAAGCGAAAGUGACGGUACCUGCAGAAAAAGCGCCGGCUAACUACGUGCCAGCAGCCGCGGUAAUACGUAGGGCGCAAGCGUUAUCCGGAAUUAUUGGGCGUAAAGAGCUCGUAGGCGGUUUGUCGCGUCUGCUGUGAAAUCCCGAGGCUCAACCUCGGGUCUGCAGUGGGUACGGGCAGACUAGAGUGCGGUAGGGGAGAUUGGAAUUCCUGGUGUAGCGGUGGAAUGCGCAGAUAUCAGGAGGAACACCGAUGGCGAAGGCAGAUCUCUGGGCCGUAACUGACGCUGAGGAGCGAAAGGGUGGGGAGCAAACAGGCUUAGAUACCCUGGUAGUCCACCCCGUAAACGUUGGGAACUAGUUGUGGGGACCAUUCCACGGUUUCCGUGACGCAGCUAACGCAUUAAGUUCCCCGCCUGGGGAGUACGGCCGCAAGGCUAAAACUCAAAGGAAUUGACGGGGACCCGCACAAGCGGCGGAGCAUGCGGAUUAAUUCGAUGCAACGCGAAGAACCUUACCAAGGCUUGACAUACACCAGAACACCGUAGAAAUACGGGACUCUUUGGACACUGGUGAACAGGUGGUGCAUGGUUGUCGUCAGCUCGUGUCGUGAGAUGUUGGGUUAAGUCCCGCAACGAGCGCAACCCUCGUUCUAUGUUGCCAGCACGUAAUGGUGGGAACUC
rnacentral:rRNA from 1 species